UCUUAGGCUUCUUUCGGUCUCUCCUUGCCCCAUCCACAAUCACCGUGACAGGGUAGUAGAAGUUUUGGCGAGGAAUUUCAACUACGUUAUUGGUGCAAGGGUCACGACAUGAGGUAUACGAGGAUAGUUUAGGUGUGAGGGGGUUUAUAGUAUCCUAAAAUACUCCUAUAGUAUUUUAAACUUGAUGUUCGAAUUCUAGUAUUCUCUUGUGCGCAUAGUUGUUAGGUUUUCAGUUUGUUGCAACACGACCAUCACUCCCAAGCACAUGUUGGUCAUAUCUCAAAUAAAUAUAGUUGAUCAGGCUAUGUUUAUCCCAGAUAUGAUUAAAUAACUACCCAGGUUUCACUGUAAUGUUCAACCUUUAGUUACUUUUGGUUUCUUCUUGUUAUUGUGACAAUCGUCAAUUUUCAGUCAAGUCAAAGUCAACUAAAGUCAACAAGUCAAACCGGUCAACUCAAUUUGCCGUGAGUACUAGAGUUACUUUAUGUAAUUUCUAAACAACUCUCUAUUCUAAUGAGAGACCAUAAAUCGAAAAGUGUGUUCACCUAGAUCUCCUUAACCUAAAACGGUGGUACGUGGAGAGCCAAACCGAUAAAACAAUGUUACAUACUCACCGGGAGUAUGCAAGAUCCCUAAUCAAGGCUUAACGGGGUUUAAGGACCUUGCAGUGCGUAGCCGGACACUCAAAAAGGUCACCAAUGAAACCUCUCCCACAUAUCUCUAAGUAUGUGAAACCUCUCCCACAUAUCUCUAAGUAUGUGAAACCUCUCCCACAUAUCUCUAAGUAUGUGAAACCUCUCCCA
rnacentral:lncRNA from 1 species